ACGGUAGUGGUCUAACGGCAUGACACGACCCUCCCAACCUUUUAAGAAAAGGUUGGCGAAAACAGGUGGGUUUCUUCACCUUGUUCGUCAAGCCCACAUCAAAAAAAGGGAGAGUGAGGUCGAUAUCCGGGUUCAAUUCCCGGCUACCGUA
rnacentral:tRNA from 1 species